rnacentral:rRNA from 1 species
GGAGCUUGCUCUGUGGGAUCAGUGGCGAACGGGUGAGUAACACGUGAGCAACCUGCCCCUGACUCUGGGAUAAGCGCUGGAAACGGCGUCUAAUACUGGAUAUGUGACGUGACCGCAUGGUCUGCGUUUGGAAAGAUUUUUCGGUUGGGGAUGGGCUCGCGGCCUAUCAGCUUGUUGGUGAGGUAAUGGCUCACCAAGGCGUCGACGGGUAGCCGGCCUGAGAGGGUGACCGGCCACACUGGGACUGAGACACGGCCCAGACUCCUACGGGAGGCAGCAGUGGGGAAUAUUGCACAAUGGGCGGAAGCCUGAUGCAGCAACGCCGCGUGAGGGAUGACGGCCUUCGGGUUGUAAACCUCUUUUAGCAGGGAAGAAGCGAAAGUGACGGUACCUGCAGAAAAAGCGCCGGCUAACUACGUGCCAGCAGCCGCGGUAAUACGUAGGGCGCAAGCGUUAUCCGGAAUUAUUGGGCGUAAAGAGCUCGUAGGCGGUUUGUCGCGUCUGCUGUGAAAUCCCGAGGCUCAACCUCGGGCCUGCAGUGGGUACGGGCAGACUAGAGUGCGGUAGGGGAGAUUGGAAUUCCUGGUGUAGCGGUGGAAUGCGCAGAUAUCAGGAGGAACACCGAUGGCGAAGGCAGAUCUCUGGGCCGUAACUGACGCUGAGGAGCGAAAGGGUGGGGAGCAAACAGGCUUAGAUACCCUGGUAGUCCACCCCGUAAACGUUGGGAACUAGUUGUGGGGUCCAUUCCACGGAUUCCGUGACGCAGCUAACGCAUUAAGUUCCCCGCCUGGGGAGUACGGCCGCAAGGCUAAAACUCAAAGGAAUUGACGGGGACCCGCACAAGCGGCGGAGCAUGCGGAUUAAUUCGAUGCAACGCGAAGAACCUUACCAAGGCUUGACAUAUACGAGAACGGGCCAGAAAUGGUCAACUCUUUGGACACUCGUAAACAGGUGGUGCAUGGUUGUCGUCAGCUCGUGUCGUGAGAUGUUGGGUUAAGUCCCGCAACGAGCGCAACCCUCGUUCUAUGUUGCCAGCACGUAAUGGUGGGAACUCAUGGGAUACUGCCGGGGUCAACUCGGAGGAAGGUGGGGAUGACGUCAAAUCAUCAUGCCCCUUAUGUCUUGGGCUUCACGCAUGCUACAAUGGCCGGUACAAAGGGCUGCAAUACCGUGAGGUGGAGCGAAUCCCAAAAAGCCGGUCCCAGUUCGGAUUGAGGUCUGCAACUCGACCUCAUGAAGUCGGAGUCGCUAGUAAUCGCAGAUCAGCAACGCUGCGGUGAAUACGUUCCCGGGUCUUGUACACACCGCCCGUCAAGUCAUGAAAGUCGGUAACACCUGAAGCCGGUGGCCUAACCC